CACGUAGGGGGCAAGCGUUGUCCGGAUUUAUUGGGCGUAAAGAGCUCGUAGGUGGUUCGAUAAGUCGGGGGUGAAAUCCCGGGGCUCAACCUCGGAAUUGCCUUCGAUACUGUCUGUCUUGAGUCCGGGAGAGGUGAGUGGAAUUCCUAGUGUAGAGGUGAAAUUCGUAGAUAUUAGGAAGAACACCAGUGGCGAAGGCGGCUCACUGGCCCGGUACUGACGCUCAUGUGCGAAAGCGUGGGGAGCAAACAGG
rnacentral:rRNA from 1 species